rnacentral:lncRNA from 1 species
GGAGAGUAGCAAGAAAUAUUCCCAUAUUGCAAUCUGAAAACCAGGGCCCAGGUAAGGCGUCUUCUGAGACCCCCUUCAUGCUCACCAGCCACGGCCUAUUUCCUGUGCACCUCUCCAGAGUAACAGCCCAAGAGCCAAGGCAUCAUCUGCCAAGUAAAACAAGACAAGACCAAACAGAUGGCCUUGGUAUCGUGUUUUGUAAUAAACUGUACAGUACUGGGAAGUAGUACAGGUUAGGUGUUAAGAGCAGAACUUUGGAAUAAGACAUCUAGGAUUCAUCAUACCUUGGUGACCUUAGGCAAGUGACUUAAUUUCUCUAAGUAGCAGGAUCUCAGCUAUGAAGUUGAGAUCCUCAUAGAACUGUCAUCACAGAUAAAGGUGGUGAUACUCGGAGCCUGUAGGACAGAGCCUUGCCUUACGUGCUUAAUAGAUGACAGAUGUGAUUACUGAACUGCUGUCAUUUUUGCUUGUUAUUCUGUCUUAUGAUAGAACUUAUAAAAGACUUCUUAACCAGCUGUCUAAUGUGUAGUCCAGGUUCUGCAAAGAACCACAGGAACAAUAGUGAAAAGCUGUGCUCAUUUACCCCCAUGUCCUCACACACUGUGUUUUGCCCUGGAUUCUGUGGUUGGUGCAGAUUUUACAAUUAGAGACAAUGACAAUUCCACCCCUAAAUACCAUGCUCUGAUAUCCUCUCCCUGCAUACUCACUGCCACCUGAAGUCAAGACAGCCAAGAAGUCCCUGAACAACCAGUCACUGUGGUUCUGUUGGGUGCCCCUACUAGGAUUAUUUUUCUGCAUUGCCAGUUCUCUCUGGAAGUCUGCGCGGAAGACAGAGGAUCUCUUCUCCUCUCCUCUCCGCCUAGGCUAGCAUACCUCCUCCAGGUCUCAAACCAGUAAGAGGCAACUGGACUUUCCCUAAUGAGCCCUGUUCUCACGUGGCUCUCUCAAUUGCGCAGAAGCAAGUUGCACGUUAGCAAACCACGGUUGGUGGAAAAUUGACCUGCAAAGUCACAUGUGCAAAGAAAAUGUGUUAUUUUUCAGAGCCCCGAUGUUGUUUGUGCUGUGGUUGGCAGUGGCAACCAUGGGGGUCUGGCUAAUUAACCAGGUACACCUAAUAAUGGGCUUGGCUCUGUCAUGGUGGUGCAUCCUUGGAUACAGAAAAUGUCAACAGUUGGACUAUGGACCACAGAGUGUGUGCAGUGGGACAGGGGUGGAAGGAGGAAAGGUUCUCUGGAGUCUCCCGCAGGACUCUCCUUCUAGAAAGUUCUACAUAAGAGUAAACACUACUAUUGUGUUCCUGGUGAACGGACCCAGUCUCGUAAGAACCCUCCCACGGGUGGAGUGCUUUAUAGGCCAGAAAGCCUCUCCAACAGCCUCAGGAGCAGAACUCAGGUUUCAAGUUUUGCCUUUUCCUCCAGAACCAGAAUGACUUUUUGUCCACCUUGCCAUUGGAGGGAAGAGGCCAUGGCUCUCCAGGUGACCAGAGUGAGGACUCAGCUCUGAGGUGGAACAGCCCAUCAGCAGGUGCCUGUGGAAGCCACUGAUAGUGGAUGAAGACGAAAUUGGCUUUUCAUGUCAGUAGCUGCCAAUUCAAUGGGAAAGACAGGAGGCCACCAACCUAUUUCCUGUGGGCUCUAGAACCCUCCAUGGAUGACAUCAGCUUCCUGUCUCCACCAACCCAAGUGGUACUUCGCUCAGUAACCUCGGGGUGGAAGUUUUUCUAGAAAGUGGCCAGACUCCUGAGCCAUCCUUGAUAGCAUUUGUAAUUUUGGAUGAUGCUAUCCUUGAUAGCAUUUCUUCUUUAUUUGUGAAUGAACAAGGAUGAUCCAGCCAUCCUUGAUAGCAUUUCUUCUUUAUUUGUGAAUGAACAAACUCCUGAGUCCCUCCCCUCCUCACUCCGACUGCCCCCGAAGGCCCUUCCUUCUCAAAGGCAGUUUCUGGAAGAAGCACCACCAACUAUCAGGCUGGAAAUACUUUGUACCUGAAAAAUCAAGUUUACUAAUGUGCACUGUUUCAGUAUUUAAACGUGUGAUGCUAUAUUGUGCCAUACUUUAUUCUUUAAAUUUUAAAUUUUAAAUUAUUUAAUUUUAUUAGAUACAAGUAAGCAACAUGAAAAAAAUUUAAAUAACAACAACACUGAGAAACCACCAUUGUUAAUACCUUGGC